rfam:Triticum aestivum genome assembly, contig: Triticum_aestivum_CS42_TGACv1_scaffold_114230_2AS
AGCUGCGUGAUGAGCACAAAGUGAACUAUUCUUUCACCUUUUAUUAAAGAAUACCGUGUGCACACUACAAUGAGCAGCAUGCGCCAAUUUUUAAAGGGCCCUCUCCCAUGAUUCA